CUGGCGGCGCACAUAAGACAUGCAAGUCGAACGGAGUUUAGUCGAAUGUUUACAUGAGACGAAGACUUAGUGGCGGACUGGUGAGUAACACGUGAGCAACCUACCUCUAAGAGGGGAAUAACAGUGAGAAAUCAUUGCUAAUACCGCAUGAUGCAUAUUUUCCGCAUGAAAGAUAUGCCAAAGGAGAAAUCCGCUUAGAGAUGGGCUCGCGGCUGAUUAGCUAGUUGGUGGGGGUAAUGGGCCUACCAAGGCGACGAUCAGUAGCCGAGCUGAGAGGCUCAACGGCCACAUUGGGACUGAGAUACGGCCCAGACUCCUACGGGAGGCAGCAGUCGGGAAUAUUGCACAAUGGAGGAAACUCUGAUGCAGUGACGCCGCGUAUAGGAAGAAGGCCCUCUGGGUUGUAAACUAUUGUCGAAGGGGAAGAAACAAGACAGUACCCUUGGAGGAAGCUCCGGCUAACUACGUG
rnacentral:rRNA from 1 species